rfam:Macrophomina phaseolina MS6 contig00083, whole genome shotgun sequence.
GCGAUGGUGGUGUAGUUGGUUAUCACGUCAGUCUAACAAAAUUAAUGCAAGAAAUUGCCGCAAAUUGCGGCAAGAAGCAGCUCUUGUUAGGUCACUGAAGGUCCUGGGUUCAAGUCCCGGCCGUCGUA